rfam:Aedes albopictus isolate Foshan contig152741, whole genome shotgun sequence.
AGAACGGUCCUUUUCAGGACCACCGAAAAUUUUUCCAAAAGAGAAUU